rnacentral:rRNA from 2 species
UACGUAGGGACCAAGCGUUGUUCGGAUUUACUGGGCGUAAAGGGAGCGUAGGCGGCGUGUCAAGUCAGUUGUGAAAUCUUAAGGCUUAACCUUAAGCGGUCAACUGAUACUGUCAUGCUAGAGUGCAGAAGGGGCAAUCGGAAUUCUUGGUGUAGCGGUGAAAUGCGUAGAUAUCAAGAGGAACACCUGAGGUGAAGACGGGUUGCUGGGCUGACACUGACGCUGAGGCUCGAAAGCUAGGGUAGCAAACGGG